UGUGACAGAUGUUUUGCUGUUUCGUUUCCGCCUUUGGUCAUCCUCGCACUGUCAUGUGGACGUCAAAGGCGAAAAGGCACUGAGGUUGACAUUUUCUUCCAGAAGCCUCCACCGGGGAUCAGAGGACUCCCCUCCCGUUCCAGGACUCUUCCAGAGGCCGUACGGAAAGGCUCGGGUCCGGCCGGAGCCAUGGCGGACGGGGAACGGUCGCCGCUUUUGUCCGAGCAGCACGACGGGACCAACGGCUUCUCUCCCGGGACCAGCUCCCGCGGAUUCCCGUCCAAACCGCAGAGUUUGGCGCCGUUCCCCAGCUCGGUGGUUCCAGGAGAGCCCCCACCCCCGUACUCACCGCAGGGCAGCCCCGACAGCAGCAGCGCUCCCGUCAUCAGUUGCCGCGUCUGUCAGAGCGCCAUAUCUGUGGAGGGCAAGACUCACCAGCAUGUGGUCAAGUGCAACAUCUGCAAUGAAGCCACACCAAUAAAAAACGCUCCUGUUGGGAAGAAGUACGUCCGCUGCCCAUGUAACUGUCUGCUGAUCUGCAAAGUGACGUCGCAGAGGAUCGCCUGUCCAAGACCGUACUGUAAACGCAUCAUCAACCUGGGACCUGUUCACAUCGGCAGAGACAGUCCUGAACCACAGCAUCAGCCGGUCGGCGUCAGAGUCAUCUGCGGACACUGCUCCAACACAUUCCUGUGGACCGAGUUCUCAGACCGGACCUUGGCUCGAUGUCCACACUGUAGAAAAGUCUCUUCUAUUGGCCGGCGGUAUCCUAGGAGGAGGAGCCUGCUGUGUUUCAUGCUCUUUAUCAUCUUCGCCGCCUCCACUGCAGGACUUGUGGCCGGUACGUGGAGACCCGCCCAGAGGUCCAAAGGGAUCUACGUGUCAUGGGUGCUGCUCAUCCUGUUCGCCUUGAUCACCAUGGCAAGAACCAUCUACUGGAGGUGUCUGAAAAUCAGUGACCCCAUAUCCAACAUCACGUAGACAGACAGGGACAGGAAGGAAGGAUGGAUGGAUGGAAGGAAAGAUGGGAGGGAGGAAGUAAAGCAGGAUUUGGAGACAGAAAGGGAACACACACACACACACACACACUAUGAAGGUAAAGGUCAAAGCAGAUGUACUCUGCAGAAGAGUUCACACUGAAGCCAGCUUUAAUUUUCCAUAACCACACACUGACAGAGUUAGGGUUUAACAGUGAAUAGAGGCUUUUUCCCAGGGUUUGAAGGGACAGUUGUACAAACCAACCGUCUCCAGAUGAGACAGUCAGUCCUUUUAGUCUGUGCUGGACUCCUAAACCUGACGCUGCUGUUUGAUACUCAGUCAUGCUUCUGCUCAUACGUGAUAACAAAGAACAGUGAAACGGUGGAAUCCCACAGAUGGGAAAUCCAAUACCAGUGCAGUCGAAUCAAACUGGAACUAGAUGGAAGAAAACGAAGCAGGACGGGACAAAGACACAUUUCGUAGUAUUUAAAAUGGCAUUCAUUCUGACAUACAGCUAAUAUUUGUCUUCGUUCUGAGUCUUUUCUUUGUAAAUGUUUUAGAUCAGGGGUGUCAGACUCAUUCUAGUUCAGGGGCCACAUCCUCCCAGUAUGAUCUGAAGUGGGCCGGACCAGUCCAAUACUCACAGAAUAACAAACAUAAUGUCAAGUCCAGUUUCUGUAUUAUUGAGUGAAAAAAGUAAGAUUACAUAAUGAAAACAUUUAUAUUUACAAACAAUCCUUUAAAAAUGUGAAUAACAUGAACCAUGAAAAAACUGACAUUUAUGAAGGAAAUUAGUGUAUUUUUAACAAUAUUCUGCCUGAGCUUCUCAUUUCCACAUGUGCAUUAGAACGUACUAGGAAUGGGAAGAUUAUCUGAUACGUAUCGAUACGCCGAUGCAUGUGCAACAGUAGAGAAACUGCGAGUGAAUGAAAAGUUUUGAAGGAUAUCACGAGGCAUCAUUUAUUGAAUGUUUGUAUUGAUAAAAUUCAAUCCGUUCAAUAGAAUAUAUUUGUACUUGCAUCUAAAAGUGUCACUGGUUAUUUGAGUAAGUUUCUCUUUUCUUUAGACUCGUGUUAACAUGUGCCAUGGAUUCACAGAUGAGUACACUGCACACACCAGUCUGAGCUCCACCCAUGCACUGGGACAUGCUCCGCCCAUGAAUCCUGUACUGUCUGUAUGUGAAUGUGAACGACGUAGAAGGAGGUGACCACAUGUGGUUCAUGAAUAGGCCUGUGUAUUGGCAAGAAUCUGGUGAUACGAUACAAAUCACAACACUAGGAUCACGAUACGAUAUA